UCGCGCCACUGCCCUCCAGCCUGGGCGACGGAGAGAGACUGCGUCAAAAAAACAACACUAAACCAAAAAAAACACAUGUCCCUCAAGUGCCCUCCCUUUUGAGCACCGUGCCCAGUCCAUACCACUGUGUGCAUUUGGGUGACUGUGGGAUCACCCUCACCCCACCACAGACACAUGACCCUGAGCACCAUGAGGACAGGGAUCUGGGCUGUUUUACUCGCUGUGGUAUCCCCAGUAGCCAUACACAGGAGGAACUGAAUCAAAGCUUGUUGGAUGAGCCAUAGCUGAGGGAAGAUUAUGGGCAGGGGGCCACAUGCUCUGGUUUGCUUGGGAAGGCCAUGCUCACUUGUCUUUCCCACACAAUAAUAAUGGUGCCCUGUUCACUCUCAAAUGUCCCAAUUUGAUGACAUAAGAUCAACGUAGUUAUUGGAAAGGAGAAGGGGUUCGCCUCAAGCUUCUGCUCUGUCCCAGCCCCACACUGGUUUCCCACUUGCCAACAAGCGCAAAGUUCAAAGCUUUUUCUUCUAACUCCUGAGAUUUUGUUGUUGUUGUUAAUAUUUCCCUGCAUUGCCCUCAAUCUCCAGAAAAACAUAAAAAUUCUGUCUGCUCAUUUCACUGCAGAAGUGGCCUUCUGGAGGGUUGCCAUGGCGAUCAAAUGAUGUCACUGUCCUGGAAACAGUUGCCUAGGAGAUGUGUGAUGUCACUUCCAGGAGAUGAUUUCCAUGAGGCUGCUGAGAGGCCAGGACUUGCUCAAGGUCUCACCACCAAUUGACAGGUGCCACUCUGGAGGUGAUAAAAAUCGUGAGACACAGGAAACCACCUCACUCAAGAACAGUCGGCCAGUGAUGCCAAAUCUCAAGAGACACCUUGGGGGCAAGCAAGUGUUUAAGGGGUAGGUUAGGCUUUUUCUUUUAACUCAGUGAGGUUUGCUUUUCUAACCAUUUAACAAUAAUCACUAAAGAUUUCAGGGAUGCAAGUUGUGCCGCUAAUAUUUUAUGACAUUAAGAAAAUUUGAGGACAUGUAUAAGCUCAGUAUUUACCUUCAGCGGUAAAUAUACUGUCAAGUUAAACAGAGACCACAACCUUUCAGAGGUGCUAUACUGUGGAAGACUGCAUUUUGUUCUGUGA